GAUGAACGCUGGCGGCGUGCCUAAUACAUGCAAGUCGAGCGAACGGACGAGAAGCUUGCGUCUCUGAUGUUAGCGGCGGACGGGUGAGUAACACGUGGAUAACCUACCUAUUAGACUGGGAUAACUUCGGGAAACCGGAGCUAAUACCGGAUAAUAUUUUGAACCGCAUGGUUCAAAAGUGAAUGACGGUCUUGCUGUCACUUAUAGAUGGAUCCGCGCUGCAUUAGCUAGUUGGUAAGGUAACGGCUUACCAAGGCAACGAUGCAUAGCCGACCUGAGAGGGUGAUCGGCCACACUGGAACUGAGACACGGUCCAGACUCCUACGGGAGGCAGCAGUAGGGAAUCUUCCGCAAUGGGCGAAAGCCUGACGGAGCAACGCCGCGUGAGUGAUGAAGGUCUUCGGAUCGUAAAACUCUGUUAUUAGGGAAGAACAUAUGUGUAAGUAACUGUGCACAUCUUGACGGUACCUAAUCAGAAAGCCACGGCUAACUACGUG
rnacentral:rRNA from 1 species